rnacentral:rRNA from 1 species
GCGUCUGAUUAGCUUGUUGGCGGGGUAACGGCCCACCAAGGCAACGAUCAGUAGGGGAUCUGAGAGGAUGAACCCCCACACGGGCACUGAGAUACGGGCCCGACUCCUACGGGAGGCAGCAGU